UUUUCUUUUAUAAAAAAACAAUUAAAACAACUUUUUCCGGUGUUUUUUUUUUUUUUUUAACCUACAAACUAACUGGUCUAAUUAAUCAGACCUUUUUGUUUAGUCUUCUGCUCACGUUGACCCGAUUUGAUACAGAUUAGCAUAGCUGUUCUCAGGUGCAAAGGUUUGGUGGCUGCACUGCACACUAUACUGGCUAAUAGAAGAUAACAUAACUGUAAGCAGUAACAUGAUUAUAAGAAUGCAAACCAUGACAACAGCAGUGAAGCAGGUUGAAUAAAUAGCAGUAUACAGUUGCAAGGUUGUUUAUAAGAACAGCUGCUGUGGCUGCACAAAAUCCAACCGGUGGACGCAUUUUAACAGCACAGUUCUAGCAGAUCUGAAAAAUUCAAAAGCAAAGACAUGUUGCAAAGAAUAAUCUGUUGCCACAAAAAUAAGCUACAAACAUACUUUCAUCUCCACUUUAAGCCUCGUAGCGAACACUAACUUACACGGUACCUAAGGACAGUUAUUUUGAAAAAUAAAUCUCAUUAAGUUGCUCCCAACAUUACCCAGCCCCCUGACCAUCCUCUCCCCCAAGCGAAGGCAACUUAGAGCUGUGAAAAUCCUGACAUGCUCACACUAGUCAUUAUUAAAGCAAUAAUAGGUACAUUACCAUUUAAAACAGAACGUUCUUUUUUGCAAUAAAAACGUGAUACAAUACAUGCAUAAUAUGUGAAGAAAUGCAGGUUUUGGAUUCAGUAUCAAACACCUAUAGUAAUGUCAGUGCAUGCAUGUUUGUUAGGGAGUGGUUGAAUGUGCAACUGAACAAAAAAGUUUACUUAGUUACUUUCAGAAUAAAAUUGUUCCGAUAAUUUUGUGCAACCUGAUUCAGUCCCACAUUAAGUAUUACACUUCUGUUGUAAUGUUGUACAAAAGAAGUGUUCUGUUGUACACUUCAAAUUUGUAUUUUUUUUUUUAUUUGACAUAGUUGCCAAACUGGUGCUACAUUACACCCACACCAUUUUAAAAUUAGAAGUUUAUUUUUCCAGUUGUUCUACAUUAAUGUCAUUAAUAUGCUUUGUAGGCAAAGGGUAAAGAAGCGUGUAAUGUUAUAGAGUCAUAUACUUCCGUUUAUGAAGGGCAUAUGAAACUAUAUUCAUUACUGAUUUAUAUUGAUAGCAAUACAUACUAUACAAAAUGAACAAUGCUUGUUAUGCUGUUUUUUUUCCCCCAAAUCUAUUGCACCACCUAGAUCACUAUUUAAAACACAACAAGACACAUUUUAAGUUUUACAUUUUUAUUAGUACACUUUUACAGCAGCAGCUGAUUAGAUUAACCAAGAUAAGUGAAUACGUGACAAGUUGAAUGAAAGCUUUUUUUUUGUUCUUUCCUCGGGGAGGGUGGUUCAUUGCCCUCAGAUUGCUGGGAAGUGCCAAGCAAGCAUUGCUUUGGUCAGCCAGGGAUGGAAGAACUGCAGCAUGAUCGUGGAGGUGGAAGCUGAUCAAUUCUAAUAAGAAGCAGCUGAAGGUGGCAAGAUUGAGAGGAUUAACUCUGAUGUCCCAUCUUAUUGAAAAGGUUUCACAUCCUGAUGGGAGUUUCCAGUCUCAUAAAUUGAGAAUCUACAUUAUUUGGGAAAGACAGGAUUUGAGCUCCUUGGACUGAAGACUUUUUUCAUUAAGGGGCCUCUAACAAUAUAAUUUAUCUGCUUGUUAAUUGGACAAUAUUUUCAAUUACAGAAAUCUCUUGAAAAAUGUCUACUACUGUUCUAUUUCUCUUCAAGGUCAAGCACAAUAUUUAAGGGGCCUUCCACCCCUAGUUUGUUUGGAGAGGAUUAUUCGCACUAGAGUUCAGUUAACACCUUUCGGUUCGUUUGUGCAGAUGUGCAAUGUCAAUAGUAUUAGUUUCACAGAGUGUGCACGAAAGAAGUGAACUAGGAUUCAUCUGAAAGGGUGGUUUCGGCUCAGCUGAGGGGGAACUGUAAUGUGUUUCCUCUUAAAGUUGGGCAGUGUGAAAGCAAUUGCAUUAGAAUUCACAAUGCAACAAAAAACGAAUUAACUGGUGGCGAUGUAAUGCAUAACCCACUGCAUAUAUUAUAAUUUAUAAUUAUUAUAAUUAUAUUAUUAUUUUUACGUUAUAUAUAAAAAGCUUGGUCUCUUGGAUAAUUGGUCUUUCUGACUUAACACACUUUUUCUGCGUUUGUGUCAUUACAAUACAAUCAUAUUGAGACGAGAAACAGGGAUUGAUAGGGACUGCUUACAACUCACCGAUGUCUGUAUAAUGCCACUGACAAUGAAACAGCCGACAAAAAUUGAAAAAAAGCGUUCCUCCUCAUCUGUCGCCUUUGUAAAUGUCUCCUCCUUGCAAAUAAAGCAGCACAAAAACAUUGGUUUUGCUCAACUGUGUUUUUAUGCUUGUAUAAAAAGGGGUUACAGUUGUGUAAAAAUCAUAAUUUUUGUCUUGUUUUGUAUAAGGAUUGCUGUUAGUGUGGUACGGAUAUGUACUUGGAACUGAAAUGUAUUAUCUACAUUUAAAUGAUUGCCAAAUGUGUGUCUGCAAAGUUACUGGUGUGUAUUGUAGCCAGCUGUGGUAAAAUCCAGCAUGAGGAAGUUAUCCUGACCAACAUAAUAAACUGCUGAUUUAGUUAGAAACCUCAGAGUGUUUUUUGUUUCUGUGUUUGUGCAUUGCUAAUAAUUUAGCUGUUUAGUGGUUAUCCCAGAGUGAGCUGCUGUGGCCCUUGGGGCAUGUGUGACUGAGUUAUCAGGUCCCUAAAUCUGUUUUAUUAAGGUAAUAGGACAGAAAGGUAACAUUUGUUACAUUUACUAAAACAAAAUAAUACAAAUGUAUACCUUUAUUAAAAAUGUGCACCGAUUAAUCUACUAAAACAAAUAAUGCCCAUAAAUGAACCGAUCAAAACUUUUAAUUGAGUGACAGCCCUAAUUUUAUGUUAUAUGAAACAUAAAUUGAGUAAUGGAAGUGGGUUGUUAAGCUCUUUCCUGAUAGUAGAAUUUUAAAUUAACACUGCAAAAGCAAUUGAUUUGUAAUUGUUCCUAUAAUAACAAUAAAUUGAGUUGUAAUAGGAAAAUCAGCUACUUAUGUACAUUUUAAGGCAUACUCCAUUUAAUUUAAAUUGACUAUGAUGUACAACCAUAUGGUACGGUACAGUGUGUUAAUAUUUUUGAGCAGCACAUCUAAUUAACAGCAACACAGUUUGAUAGUUUGGCAUUUGGAUGAUUUUUCAUUAUUGCAAAUUAUCAUUUAUUAGCAGUAGUCUACAUAACCAUGCAUUAUAGCUAUAUCAACACCAACGUCAAUAUCUGCACAUCAAAGCUGUCACACACAGACAGCAUUGUAAAACCAACUUCAAGGGAACCAUAGUUUAUUUGCUUUAGUAUAUGUGAAAACCAGCCCCCACUCCUCUCUCCCCACGCUGCAUUUAAGGUAUGUGUUGUUUUUCAAUUAACAUGUCUUGAGGGGUAUUGGGGGAGCUUGUGCUACAAAAUGCCUUGUAGUAAUGAGUUUAAAAACAAAAAUAAAAAAAAUAAAAAAGUUAAUCAUGGCUUAACAAAUACUGACUUGUUUUUUUUAAUUAAUGUAACUAAUUUGAAUGAAAUAUUUUGUGAAUUUCCAUAAAACACCAUCGUCUUUUAGACGUGUCAUUUUGGGAAAUGUAAACAGGCAGCUGAGGUUUAUCAAGGUAUAUUUGCUGUGUGCUUUUACUGGCAUUAU